rnacentral:rRNA from 1 species
CAGUCGCACGGGAAUACGGAGGGUGCAAGCGUUAAUCGGAAUUACUGGGCGUAAAGCGCACGCAGGCGGUCUGACAAGUCAGAUGUGAAAUCCCCGGGCUUAACCUGGGAACUGCAUUUGAAACUGUCAGGCUGGAGUCUUGUAGAGGGGGGUGGAAUUCCAGGUGUAGCGGUGAAAUGCGUAGAGAUCUGGAGGAAUACCGGUGGCGAAGGCGGCCCCCUGGACAAAGACUGACGCUCAGGUGCGAAAGCGUGGGGAGCAAACAGGAUUAGAUACCCCGGUAGUCCCUGUCUCUUAUACA